CCCUUAGAUGUCCGGGGCUGCACGCGCGCUACACUGAAGGAAUCAGCGUGCUAAAACCAUUGUCGAAAGGCAUUGGUAAACCCAUUAAAAUCCUACGUGAUUGGGAUCGGGAAUUGCAAUUAUUUCCCUUGAACGAGGAAUUCCCAGUAAGUGUGGGUCAUAAGCUCGCGUUGAUUACGUCCCUGCCCUUUGUACACACCGCCCGUCGCUGCCCGGGACUGAGCCGUUUCGAGAAAAGCGGGGACUGCUGCUGUCGGGGCUUUCGGGCCUUGCCUUCGGUGGAAACCGCUUUAAUCGCAGUGGCUUGAACCGGGCAAAAGUCGUAACA
rnacentral:rRNA from 1 species